AUAGCAUUGUUCAAGUCAGUUCAGGCAAUAUGAGCAAGGGUCAACUUUUUAACACUCUCUGACUGAGGACAGAUUUCAGAAUGAAGAGCUGGAAGUUUAAAUUUCUGCUAUAACAUAGACAGUUUCAAUGUAUGUUUUAUUAUUAUUAUUAUUAUUUGAAAUUUUUCAUGCCAACUGCAAAUACAGAAGUGGAUUGCAAGCCUUGUCCUUGAGGAGGCUGCAUGGCUUUGAAGGUCCCCUCUUUCUCCAAGUGCCUCCCUGGUGUUUUGUCUAGCUGCUCUUCGCAUUCCAGAGCACAGGACAGAAAGUCGCAGGAGCCAGAACAAAACACAGGAUUUGUUUUACAAACAUUUUAAAGGGAUAUAAAGGUGAAGGAUAGAUGACGAAGGCUUCUUGUGCCCUGGAGGACAUUUCACAUCAAGUGCUCAUCUUGUCCAGUGGCCUGACAGCUCACUUCUGCUGGCUGCUGUUCAAGGGAAAAAUUAUAUACUUCCCUAUUUUUUUUUCCUUCCCUUUGUGCCUAAACAGGAGGGGCAAGCUGGAGCCUAGCAGAAAUCAGAAUCCCAAUUUUGGCCAAAAUUUAGCUACUGAUAGGUUGCUGAAGGAGUCUGUCAAACUUUUGUAGUAAUAUGAAUGCACAGUUUCCUAGAAUCUAAAACGGGAGGAAAAAAGGAGAUGUUUUAUAGCAGUUUAAUUAUAUUAUUAUUCCUUCUGUGUUCAGAUGAGGUCACUCAGGACCUGAUAGUGGCACUUGUGGCUCCUUUAUUUCAAAAGGGUGGCACAAAAGAUCACUUGAGUGGCAUCUGUCUCAGCAUUUCCACAGAUCCCCAGGACUCUCCUGUUGCAGAUAUUUUUUCCCUGCUAUAUUGAUGUGGUUACUUGCAUUGUGUGCUGAAGCCAUACAUCCAGCUCAUUUUCCUGUGUUUUCUAGUGCCACAGAUAGGUGUGAGUAUCCCUGUUGUACAUCCAGAGAACUUAGAAACUGUGAGAUGCCAGCAAUGUAGGAUGUGUUUCAUCCUUUCCUACUCAUUCCAAAUGUCCCUAAGGUCCUUCCUUAGGGAGAAGUUUGAAAACUCAGACUGACAGGGGAAAAAAAAAAUCAAUAAAUUCUUCUGUUCAAAUUAUCUGUGUUUUUAAGAGAUUAUCUAAAGCUAUGGCUUUUAUUAUUAAAGCAGACUGAAAACAUAAAAUGAACAGUCAUAGCUGUCUUGCUGCUAUUUGCCCCUUUGCCAUAUGGGUGCUCUGCAAUGCCUAUGUGGCAAGGGAGAGGAAAUUGCAGUUCCCUUUCCUGGCAUUGGCUGAGCAUCACACUAGGAAGGACUUCUGCAACACAGUGAAAAGCAAUCCCCAAACUUUUCAGAAACUGGAAAUGCAUCCAAUGGUUUGCUCGCAUCACAGACAUUCUUAGAAUUUUCUCUUAUAAAUUGUAUCUUUAAGGUACAAGACUGCAGAUGUUUUAAGCAGAAAAAUAUCUCCAUGUACAGUAGCAGGGAAAAAAAAAAGCUGAAAUUCUGAAAAGCUCAGGAGGUCCAAAGGAAUCUUUCCUCUAACUUGUCACUGAACAUAACAACUAGGGAUCAGCUCAACAGCAUCUAUCCCUUACAGAUGGUGUCUAUUGCAAGUAUGACUCCACUGCCUUUCCUUUUCUUGGUAAUUAAGAUGCUGUUGUGUAAGGGAUAACUUCAAAGUUUUGUCUGGGCCCCCCACUCUUCAGGCUUAUUAGCACAUUUCCUGGAAUAGUGAUAGCUUCAAGGUUUUGCUGAGCUUUGUUUGUUUGUGAGUCCAAAUGAAAACAAUGGGAGAGUUGAAACAACUCCUGAGACAUGUGAGGAGCUUUCUUAUUUGGGGAGUUAAUUGGAUUUCUGUCUGCCUGGCUUUAGGUGAAGGAUUUCCAGGCAAUUCCAUGGUUUCUGUACAAAGGUCUCCUGAUUGUGACUGUUAUGGAUAUGGGGUGUUAAUUACAGACUCACAAUUCAGGCUAUGGUACUGGGUUUUAGAGAGAUGUCUGUAAUAUACACAAAGGAUAAUAACUGAUGUAGCUCUGGCAGUACCUCUAGUCCUCUUGAGUCUCAGGUUUCAUGGUUUAGUUCAGAUCCUUUUGGGUCCAGACCGAGGUACUGCUAGAUUGCCACAGGAGAGUAUGAACACAUUUGCUCCAUAUUACUCUAUAAUCUAGAGGUAGAAACUCCUAAAAUGCAGCAUUUAAUCUGUGAAGAUCCAACUCGGAAUGUGAAUCAUCUUAUAUAGGAUUUUCUGUCCAGGUUUUACUGUGGCAAGACCUGAGUGUUUCCCAAAGUGAUCCUUCUCCCUCUGCUGAGCAACAGCAAUAGCAGAAUAGCAAUUCCAUUGCAAAGACUGUUUUGGAAUCUUUGAAAGGAUUGCAUGCAUGCUAGAAACUGAAUAAAAAUCACUCAUACCACAGAGGAUUAAAUGCCUUCUGAGAACGUGGAAUUCCACAUUUGAAACAUGAUUCUGUUCUAGCUCACAUGCAUUGAAAUGCCAAAAAAUGAUUAUUUGGAGUUGGCAAAUACAGUGGCACUCUAGGUACUGUACUGUUGACAAGAAACAAUGUUCUUAAGUGAUACUGGGAUGAAGCCAUAUUGGGCAACUGUUGCAGAGACUUCUACUGUAGAAAUUCCACUCUUUUGUGCAAGAUUGUGUUUGACCACUUGAAUGUUAACAUUCCUUUAUACAUGGUAUCCAGUGCUGACUUCUGUGACUUAUAUUUUCAGGCAUUUUUCAUGUCAGCUGCACAUGGGAGAAAGGGUGAUGAUGCCAUUUUGCAAUAGAGAAGAGUGGAGCUCUCGCCUUAGACUCAUCUGAAGAAUUUCUAAUUCAAAGUAUUGCAAUGUUAUCCCUGCUAAAGUUGCAGUUCUCAUAACCCAAUAUCAGAUGGGAAAAUCCCACGUAAUGCCUGGAAUGCCAGCAGGACUGUUAUGGUCCUGGGGCGGGUGGAGCUAUCCAUGUCCUCAGAGCUGCAUUUUAGCGCUCUCCUGCCGCUGUGAAGGGAGUUUAUAUUUCUGUAACUCUAGUGGGGAUUCCUUUGGCUUGACACAAUCCUGGGAAUGUCUUUCAAACCAUGUACAUACAGAGAACAGAUGGCUUUCAUGGGAAGCAGGAACUACUGUUCAACAUGUAAGAAUUAAUUUUUUUUUUCCAUUUCUUGGUAGCUUUCUAACUUGAAAUAAUCCUUCCACAGAUACUGUGUAAUGGGAACAGUAUCUUGAUUCUCUCCUCCAUCCCUCCCUUAUUUUUGUUUUCCUGUCAAGCUCAAGGAAAAACAUUUUUCACAUAUUCUAAGGGUAGAGGUGGAUAAUUUAUUUUUUUUUUUAAGUUUUAAAUUCAGUUACUACUGAAUUUUAGCAUUUGUAAUGAAAGCUGAAUUACUGAAGCUAAGCCUCAGUGGGGAAUUUAACAAUACAGUCUACUGUUCCUGUCCUCUCAGGCAUCAGUGCCAUCUGACCAAAACUCAGGAAUGUAGUUAUUGACAGAUAUGUAGCGGCAUAUGGAAAAUAAUCUAUAGAAUUUCAUGCAUUUUGCUGGCAAUCUGAUUAAAUAUUAACAUUUUGUGGUGCCAGAUAGCAACAUUAGUGAGUGGUACAUUGUGAGAGAAUAUAACAUGAAGUGACCAUGUAAGAUAAUUAAAGAUCUUGUUGAAUUUAAUUUUCAUGUUCUUGCACUUAGGAGCUUGUCACAGUAAAUGGACAUUUAAUAAAUUUUCU